rfam:Leptosomus discolor contig91135, whole genome shotgun sequence.
AAAGUGGCCUAUGCCACUGCAAUGGACUGGUUUAUAGCUGUCUGCUAUGCCUUU